rnacentral:rRNA from 1 species
CCGCCAGGAGAGUACGAGCCCAAGCUUAAAACCCAAAGGACUUGACGGUGUCCCACCCCUCUAGAGGAGCCUGUUCUAUAAUCGAUAACCCCCGAUAAACCUCACCAUCUCUCGAAUAUCAGCCUGUAUACCUCCGUCGAAAGCCUACCAUGUGAACGAAAUAAGUGGGCCCAAAGGUUUAAAACCAAAACGUCAGGUCAAGGUGCAGCCUAAGAGCUGGAAAGAAAUGGGCUACAAUCUCUAUUUUAGAGCACACGGAAAACUGCAUGCAACACAGUAUUGAAGGUGGAUUUAGUAGUAAAAAGAAAAUAGAGAGUUCUUUUUAAUUAGGCCCUGGGACGCGUACACACCGCCCGUCACCCUCUUCAAAUUAAAUUAACAAUGUAAUUAACUACACUUUAUUAUUAAGAAGAGGCAAGUCGUAACAUGGUAAGCGUACUGGAAAGUGUGCUUGGUAUAACAAAAUGUAACUUAAUAAAGUACCUUGCUUACACCAAGAACAUGUUAGUGCAACCCUAACCAUUUUGAGCUAAAAACUAAGCCCUAUAAAAUUCUAAUGAAAUAACUUGCUUAACUAAACCAAACAAAACAUUCUACUAACUAAGUAAAGGCGAUUAAAAAGUAUUUCGGAGCCACAACACUAGUACCGCAAGGGAAAAAUGAAAUAAAAAUGAAAUAAAUUUAAGCUAGACAAA